GCGUUUGUGGUUUAGUGGUAAAAUCCAUCGUUGCCAACCCGCUUCCCACCCUCAAAAGUGAAAAGCGAAACAACCUCGAUGGGCCCCGGGUUCGAUUCCCGGCGAACGCA